GAUGAACGCUAGCGGCAGGCUUAAUACAUGCAAGUCGUGGGGCAGCAUGACUGUUGCAAUACAGUUGAUGGCGACCGGCAAACGGGUGUGGAACACGUACACAACCUUCCUUUAAGUGGGGAAUAGCCCGGGGAAACCCGGCUUAAUACCCCGUAAUAUAGUGAUUAGGCAUCUUUUUACUAUUAUAGCAGCAAUGCGCUUGAUGAUGGGUGUGCGUCUGAUUAGGCAGUUAGCGGGGUAACGGCCCACCAAGCCUACGAUCAGUAACUGGUGUGAGAGCACGACCAGUCACACGGGCACUGAGACACGGGCCCGACUCCUACGGGGGGCAGCAGUAAGGAAUAUUGGUCAAUGGACGCAAGUCUGAACCAGCCAUGCCGCGUGGAGGAUGAAGGUCCUCUGGAUUGUAAACUUCUUUUAUCUGGAAGAAACCCACGAAUUCUUUUGUGGUUGACGGUACCAGAUGAAUAAGCACCGGCUAACUCCGUGCCAGCCGCCGCGGUAAUAC
rnacentral:rRNA from 1 species